rnacentral:piRNA from 1 species
AGUCUAAUGAUGUGGCUCCCUUCC